rnacentral:rRNA from 1 species
CCUACGGGAGGCUGCAGUGGGGAAUAUUGCACAAUGGGCGCAAGCCUGAUGCAGCCAUGCCGCGUGUGUGAAGAAGGCCUUCGGGUUGUAAAGCACUUUCAGCGGGGAGGAAGGCGGUGAGGUUAAUAACCUCAUCGAUUGACGUUACCCGCAGAAGAAGCACCGGCUAACUCCGUGCCAGCAGCCGCGGUAAUACGGAGGGUGCAAGCGUUAGUCGGAAUUACUGGGCGUAAAGCGCACGCAGGCGGUCUGUCAAGUCGGAUGUGAAAUCCCCGGGCUCAACCUGGGAACUGCAUUCGAAACUGGCAGGCUAGAGUCUUGUAGAGGGGGGUAGAAUUCCAGGUGUAGCGGUGAAAUGCGGAGAGAUCUGGAGGAAUACCGGUGGCGAAGGCGGCCCCCUGGACAAAGACUGACGCUCAGGUGCGAAAGCGUGGGGAGCAAACAGGAUUAGAUACCCCGGUAGUC